GACCGGGAUAACUCCGGGAAACCGGAGCUAAUACCGGAUAACACCGAAGACUCGCAUGGUCUUCGGUUGAAAGACGGCCUUUGGGCUGUCACUUGCGGAUGGGCCCGCGGCGCAUUAGCUAGUUGGUGAGGUAACGGCUCACCAAGGCGACGAUGCGUAGCCGGCCUGAGAGGGUGACCGGCCACACUGGGACUGAGACACGGCCCAGACUCCUACGGGAGGCAGCAGUAGGGAAUCUUCCGCAAUGGGCGAAAGCCUGACGGAGCGACGCCGCGUGAGCGAAGAAGGCCUUCGGGUCGUAAAGCUCUGUUGUGAGGGACGAAGGAGCGCCGUUCGAAGAGGGCGGCGCGGUGACGGUACCUCACGAGAAAGCCCCGGCUAACUACGUGCCAGCAGCCGCGGUAAUACGUAGGGGGCGAGCGUUGUCCGGAAUUAUUGGGCGUAAAGCGCGCGCAGGCGGUCUCUUAAGUUUGAUGUGAAAGCCCACGGCUCAACCGUGGAGGGUCAUUGGAAACUGGGGGACUUGAGGGCAGGAGAGGAGAGCGGAAUUCCACGUGUAGCGGUGAAAUGCGUAGAGAUGUGGAGGAACACCAGUGGCGAAGGCGGCUCUCUGGCCUGCACCUGACGCUGAGGCGCGAAAGCGUGGGGAGCAAACAGGAUUAGAUACCCUGGUAGUCCACGCCGUAAACGAUGAGUNCUAAGUGUUAGAGGGGUCACACCCUUUAGUGCUGCAGCUAACGCGAUAAGCACUNCGCCUGGGGAGUAGGGCGGCAAGGCUGAAACUCAAAGGAAUAGACGGGGGCCCGCACAAGCGCUGGAGCAUGUGGUUUAAUUCGAAGCAACGCGAAGAACCUUACCAGGUCUUGAUAUCCCCUGUCAACCCAAGAGAUAGGGCGUUCCCCCUUCGGGGGGACAGGGUGACAGGUGGUGCAUGGUGGUCGUCAGCUCGUGUCGUGAGAUGUUGGGUUAAGUCCCGCAACGAGCGCAACCCUCGCCUUUAGUUGCCAGCAUUCAGUUGGGCACUCUAGAGGGACUGCCGGCGACAAGUCGGAGGAAGGUGGGGAUGACGUCAAAUCAUCAUGCCCCUUAUGACCUGGGCUACACACGUGCUACAAUGGGCGGUACAAAGGGGUGCGAACCCGCGAGGGGGAGCGAAUCCCAAAAAGCCGCUCUCAUUUUGGAUUGCAGGCUGCAAAUCUCCUGCAUGAAGCCGGAAUCGCUAGUAAUCUCGGAUCAGCACGCCGCGGUGAAUACGUUCCCGGGCCUUGUAGCACACCGCCCGUCACACCACGAGAGCUUGCAACACCCGAAGUCGGUGAGUAACCCGCAAGGGAGCCAGCCGCCGAAGGUGGGCAAGUGAUGGG
rnacentral:rRNA from 1 species